CGAGACAGCAGGGAGUGAGUAUCGCUCACACUUCAAAGCAUGACACACAGAAAGCAGCCAGGAGUCACACAGCAUUUGGCCACGACCCAAGUCUUGAUGAGGGUUUCUGUAGAGCUGCUGAAGCUCAGUGUGGUGGCUCAGCUUGUUGCCAUGUGGCCUGUCCUGCCUUCUGAACAGGAGGAACAUUAUUUCUGGCCAUCGUGGACUCACCACUGUAGACAGGAUUGAGAAUGGGAACGUCAUCUCCUAGCUACCUACUGUAGCUUCCUAAGUAUAUCUAUGAAAAAUAGUGACAGA